GUGCUUGCCUCGGCAGCACAUAUGCUGCAGUCGAAAUGAUACAGAGAUUAGCACGGCUCCUGUGGGAGGAUGACGCGCCAAUCCAUGAAGCAUUGCAUAUCUUU
rnacentral:snRNA from 1 species